rnacentral:hammerhead_ribozyme from 1 species
AUCCAGCUGAUGAGUCUCAAAUAGGACGAACCGCGCGUCUUGGAU